rnacentral:rRNA from 1 species
AACACGUAAGGAACCUGCCCCAAGGAUUGGGAUAACUCCGAGAAAUCGGAGCUAAUACCGAAUAGUUCUUCAGACCGCAUGGUCUGAUGAUGAAAGGCGCUCCGGCGUCACCUUGGGAUGGCCUUGCGGUGCAUUAGCUAGUUGGUGGGGUAAUGGCCCACCAAGGCGACGAUGCAUAGCCGACCUGAGAGGGUGAUCGGCCACACUGGGACUGAGACACGGCCCAG